rnacentral:rRNA from 1 species
ACGCCGCGUGUGUGAUGAAGGUUUUCGGAUCGUAAAGCACUUUCGACCGGGACGAAAAACCUCUGGCUAACAUCCAGGGGCCUGACGGUACCGGGAGAAGAAGCACCGGCUAACUCUGUGCCAGCAGCCGCGGUAAUACAGAGGGUGCAAGCGUUGUUCGGAAUUAUUGGGCGUAGAGCGCGUGUAGGCGGCUUGGCAAGUCAGAUGUGAAAGCCCUCGGCUUAACCGAGGAAGUGCGUCUGAAACUGCUGAGCUUGAGUGUCGGAGAGGAUGGCGGAAUUCCGCAAGUAGAGGUGAAAUUCGUAGAUAUGCGGAGGAACACCGGUGGCGAAGGCGGCCAUCUGGACGACUACUGACGCUGAGACGCGAAAGCGUGGGGAGCAAACAGGAUUAGAUACCCUGGUAGUCCACGCUGUAAACGAUGAGAACUAGGUGUCGUGGGUGUUGACCCCCGCGGUGCCGCAGCUAACGCAUUAAGUUCUCCGCCUGGGAAGUACGGCCGCAAGGCUAAAACUCAAAGGAAUUG